rnacentral:rRNA from 1 species
CCUACGGGUGACAGCAGUGGGGAAUAUUGCACAAUGGGGGAAACCCUGAUGCAGCGACGCCGCGUGAGUGAAGAAGUAAUUCGGUAUGUAAAGCUCUAUCAGCAGGGAAGAAAAUGACGGUACCUGAGUAAGAAGCACCGGCUAACUACGUGCCAGCAGCCGCGGUAAUACGUAGGGGGCAAGCGUUAGCCGGAUUUACUGGGGGUAAAGGGAGCGUAGACGGCAGUGCAAGUCUGGAGUGAAAGGCGGGGGCUCAACCCCCGGACUGCUCUGGAAACUGUACGGCUGGAGUGCAGGAGAGGUAAGUGGAAUUCCUAGUGUAGCGGUGAAAUGCGUAGAUAUUAGGAGGAACACCAGUGGCGAAGGCGGCUUACUGGACUGUAACUGACGUUGAGGCUCGAAAGCGUGGGGAGCAAACAGGAUUAGAUACCCCUGUAGUC